GAGGAAAAGAAAUCAACCGAGAUUCCCCCAGUAGCGGCGAGCGAACGGGGAGCAGCCCAGAGCCUGAAUCAGUAUGUGUGUUAGUGGAAGCGUCUGGAAAGGCGCGCGAUACAGGGUGACAGCCCCGUACACAAAAAUGCACAUGCUGUGAGCUCGAUGAGUAGGGCGGGACACGUGGUAUCCUGUCUGAAUAUGGGGGGACCAUCCUCCAAGGCUAAAUACUCCUGACUGACCGAUAGUGAACCAGUACCGUGAGGGAAAGGCGAAAAGAACCCCGGCGAGGGGAGUGAAAAAGAACCUGAAACCGUGUACGUACAAGCAGUGGGAGCACGCUUAGGCGUGUGACUGCGUACCUUUUGUAUAAUGGGUCAGCGACUUAUAUUCUGUAGCAAGGUUAACCGAAUAGGGGAGCCGAAGGGAAACCGAGUCUUAACUGGGCGUUAAGUUGCAGGGUAUAGACCCGAAACCCGGUGAUCUAGCCAUGGGCAGGUUGAAGGUUGGGUAACACUAACUGGAGGACCGAACCGACUAAUGUUGAAAAAUUAGCGGAUGACUUGUGGCUGGGGGUGAAAGGCCAAUCAAACCGGGAGAUAGCUGGUUCUCCCCGAAAGCUAUUUAGGUAGCGCCUCGUGAAUUCAUCUCCGGGGGUAGAGCACUGUUUCGGCAAGGGGGUCAUCCCGACUUACCAACCCGAUGCAAACUGCGAAUACCGGAGAAUGUUAUCACGGGAGACACACGGCGGGUGCUAACGUCCGUCGUGAAGAGGGAAACAACCCAGACCGCCAGCUAAGGUCCCAAAGUCAUGGUUAAGUGGGAAACGAUGUGGGAAGGCCCAGACAGCCAGGAUGUUGGCUUAGAAGCAGCCAUCAUUUAAAGAAAGCGUAAUAGCUCACUGGUCGAGUCGGCCUGCGCGGAAGAUGUAACGGGGCUAAACCAUGCACCGAAGCUGCGGCAGCGACGCUUAUGCGUUGUUGGGUAGGGGAGCGUUCUGUAAGCCUGUGAAGGUGUGCUGUGAGGCAUGCUGGAGGUAUCAGAAGUGCGAAUGCUGACAUAAGUAACGAUAAAGCGGGUGAAAAGCCCGCUCGCCGGAAGACCAAGGGUUCCUGUCCAACGUUAAUCGGGGCAGGGUGAGUCGACCCCUAAGGCGAGGCCGAAAGGCGUAGUCGAUGGGAAACAGGUUAAUAUUCCUGUACUUGGUGUUACUGCGAAGGGGGGACGGAGAAGGCUAUGUUGGCCGGGCGACGGUUGUCCCGGUUUAAGCGUGUAGGCUGGUUUUCCAGGCAAAUCCGGAAAAUCAAGGCUGAGGCGUGAUGACGAGGCACUACGGUGCUGAAGCAACAAAUGCCCUGCUUCCAGGAAAAGCCUCUAAGCAUCAGGUAACAUCAAAUCGUACCCCAAACCGACACAGGUGGUCAGGUAGAGAAUACCAAGGCGCUUGAGAGAACUCGGGUGAAGGAACUAGGCAAAAUGGUGCCGUAACUUCGGGAGAAGGCACGCUGAUAUGUAGGUGAAGUCCCUCGCGGAUGGAGCUGAAAUCAGUCGAAGAUACCAGCUGGCUGCAACUGUUUAUUAAAAACACAGCACUGUGCAAACACGAAAGUGGACGUAUACGGUGUGACGCCUGCCCGGUGCCGGAAGGUUAAUUGAUGGGGU
rnacentral:rRNA from 1 species